UAUCGCGGUAGAGAUCCACGCGUUAAACUAGUGCAUUAAAAUGAAAAGACCAAACUCGGCGCCGCUACACGAACCGAAUUCAACCAAGCAGCGUUCCCAUCGUGUUGACCAAUGCAACUACGGGGCGUGGUUUUCGACAGAAGAGUCAAUUCAGAUUGCUGACACACAGAUGGAGAUGGGAAAGGGAGGAUUAAAAAUAACACGCUAAGACUGCUCUCCAGCUUCUUCAAUCUGCAUAAGCAUUACAUUGCCUUACCAAACUAUCUACCAGCCUAAAUGAUGGUACAACACAAUGACAAAAAUAUGGUCUUAGUUUUGAUACAAGAGUGAUAUUAUGAGACACUCAAUAAUUAGAAAAUUUCAUCAAGAGGGUCUAAAAAGAUGAUAAUUGCUGAAAUGUCAGAUGUCCAUGUCUU